UGGGGAAUAUUGGACAAUGGGCGCAAGCCUGAUCCAGCCAUGCCGCGUGAGUGAUGAAGGCCUUAGGGUUGUAAAGCUCUUUCACCGGAGAAGAUAAUGACGGUAUCCGGAGAAGAAGCCCCGGCUAACUUCGUGCCAGCAGCCGCGGUAAUACGAAGGGGGCUAGCGUUGUUCGGAAUUACUGGGCGUAAAGCGCACGUAGGCGGACAUUUAAGUCAGGGGUGAAAUCCCGGGGCUCAACCUCGGAACUGCCUUUGAUACUGGGUGUCUUGAGUGUGGAAGAGGUCAGUGGAAUUGCGAGUGUAGAGGUGAAAUUCGUAGAUAUUCGCAGGAACACCAGUGGCGAAGGCGGCUGACUGGUCCACAACUGACGCUGAGGUGCGAAAGCGUGGGGAGCAAACAGG
rnacentral:rRNA from 1 species